rnacentral:rRNA from 1 species
AGAGUUUGAUCCUGGCUCAGGACGAACGCUGGCGGCGUGCUUAACACAUGCAAGUCGAACGAGAAUCUGUGGAAAGAGGAUUCGUCCAAUUGAAGCAGAGGACAGUGGCGGACGGGUGAGUAACGCGUGAGGAACCUGCCUUUCAGAGGGGGACAACAGUUGGAAACGACUGCUAAUACCGCAUAACACAUAGGUGUCGCAUGGCACUUAUGUCAAAGAUUUAUCGCUGAAAGAUGGCCUCGCGUCUGAUUAGCUAGUUGGUGAGGUAACGGCCCACCAAGGCGACGAUCAGUAGCCGGACUGAGAGGUUGAACGGCCACAUUGGGACUGAGAUACGGCCCAGACUCCUACGGGAGGCAGCAGUGGGGAAUAUUGGGCAAUGGGCGCAAGCCUGACCCAGCAACGCCGCGUGAAGGAAGAAGGCUUUCGGGUUGUAAACUUCUUUUGUCAGGGACGAGUAGAAGACGGUACCUGACGAAUAAGCCACGGCUAACUACGUGCCAGCAGCCGCGGUAAUACGUAGGUGGCAAGCGUUGUCCGGAUUUACUGGGUGUAAAGGGCGUGUAGCCGGGAGGGCAAGUCAGAUGUGAAAUCCACGGGCUCAACUCGUGAACUGCAUUUGAAACUACUCUUCUUGAGUAUCGGAGAGGCAAUCGGAAUUCCUAGUGUAGCGGUGAAAUGCGUAGAUAUUAGGAGGAACACCAGUGGCGAAGGCGGAUUGCUGGACGACAACUGACGGUGAGGCGCGAAAGCGUGGGGAGCAAACAGGAUUAGAUACCCUGGUAGUCCACGCUGUAAACGAUGAAUACUAGGUGUGCGGGGACUGACCCCCUGCGUGCCGCAGCUAACGCAAUAAGUAUUCCACCUGGGGAGUACGAUCGCAAGGUUGAAACUCAAAGGAAUUGACGGGGGCCCGCACAAGCGGUGGAUUAUGUGGUUUAAUUCGAAGCAACGCGAAGAACCUUACCAGGGCUUGACAUCCUACUAACGAGAUAGAGAUAUGUUAGGUGCCCUUCGGGGAAAGUAGAGACAGGUGGUGCAUGGUUGUCGUCAGCUCGUGUCGUGAGAUGUUGGGUUAAGU